rnacentral:tRNA from 1 species
GAGGGUAUAGCUCAGUGGUAGAGGGCGUGGUUAGCACGCACGAGGUCCUAGGUUCAAUUCCCAGUACCCCCU